rnacentral:rRNA from 1 species
UACGUAGGGUGCGAGCGUUGUCCGGAAUUAUUGGGCGUAAAGAGCUCGUAGGCGGUUUGUCGCGUCUGCUGUGAAAACCCGAGGCUCAACCUCGGGCCUGCAGUGGGUACGGGCAGACUAGAGUGCGGUAGGGGAGAUUGGAAUUCCUGGUGUAGCGGUGGAAUGCGCAGAUAUCAGGAGGAACACCAAUGGCGAAGGCAGAUCUCUGGGCCGUAACUGACGCUGAGGAGCGAAAGCGUGGGGAGCGAACAGG